UAUGGCAAGGAGGCUGCAGACC
rnacentral:miRNA from 1 species